AGCUGUUAUGAAAUUGACCAUUUGUUACAAUAGAGAAGAUAAUUUGUGUGCCCUGCUUUCCAAAAUGGACUUCUGCUCAGGAUGCCAGAAAGUACAGAAUCAAUGCUAACAGUUAAUCACAGAACUUAUUAAGGGUCCUCGAUGACUUUCCCAUGUAAACUUUCCCAGGAGAACAAUGAACUGCAUGUUGAACAGGACUCGAAACUUCUGUAACAGAUGGAAACUGCUACUUACUAGUCCUCAGAAAGAAGUCUCCUCUGGACCUACUUAGCAACAGAUGAGUCACGGUCCUCCUCUGACAGGAAGCACAGAGCUCCUCACUCUCGCACAUCCCAAACUGGCCAUGGUGUUGCUUUAAAUAGGAACUGGAGGAAGAAAUUGUGAUCAAGGGCCAGCAUAUGUCUGAGUGCCCCCGCAAAGAUCUGGCUCUGUUCUGCAGUCACAAGAUUUCUGAGGUUUUGCAGGAGUCAUU